UUAAAUUGAAGAGUUUGAUCAUGGCUCAGAUUGAACGCUGGCGGCAGGCCUAACACAUGCAAGUCGAACGGUAACAGGAAGAAGCUUGCUUCUUUGCUGACGAGUGGCGGACGGGUGAGUAAUGUCUGGGAAACUGCCUGAUGGAGGGGGAUAACUACUGGAAACGGUAGCUAAUACCGCAUAACGUCGCAAGACCAAAGAGGGGGACCUUCGGGCCUCUUGCCAUCGGAUGUGCCCAGAUGGGAUUAGCUAGUAGGUGGGGUAACGGCUCACCUAGGCGACGAUCCCUAGCUGGUCUGAGAGGAUGACCAGCCACACUGGAACUGAGACACGGUCCAGACUCCUACGGGAGGCAGCAGUGGGGAAUAUUGCACAAUGGGCGCAAGCCUGAUGCAGCCAUGCCGCGUGUAUGAAGAAGGCCUUCGGGUUGUAAAGUACUUUCAGCGGGAGGAAGGGAGUAAAGUUAAUACCUUUGCUCAUUGACGUUACCCGCAGAAGAAGCACCGGCUAACUCCGUGCCAGCAGCCGCGGUAAUACGGAGGGUGCAAGCGUUAAUCGGAAUUACUGGGCGUAAAGCGCACGCAGGCGGUUUGUUAAGUCAGAUGUGAAAUCCCCGGGCUCAACCUGGGAACUGCAUCUGAUACUGGCAAGCUUGAGUCUCGUAGAGGGGGGUAGAAUUCCAGGUGUAGCGGUGAAAUGCGUAGAGAUCUGGAGGAAUACCGGUGGCGAAGGCGGCCCCCUGGACGAAGACUGACGCUCAGGUGCGAAAGCGUGGGGAGCAAACAGGAUUAGAUACCCUGGUAGUCCACGCCGUAAACGAUGUCGACUUGGAGGUUGUGCCCUUGAGGCGUGGCUUCCGGAGCUAACGCGUUAAGUCGACCGCCUGGGGAGUACGGCCGCAAGGUUAAAACUCAAAUGAAUUGACGGGGGCCCGCACAAGCGGUGGAGCAUGUGGUUUAAUUCGAUGCAACGCGAAGAACCUUACCUGGUCUUGACAUCCACGGAAGUUUUCAGAGAUGAGAAUGUGCCUUCGGGAACCGUGAGACAGGUGCUGCAUGGCUGUCGUCAGCUCGUGUUGUGAAAUGUUGGGUUAAGUCCCGCAACGAGCGCAACCCUUAUCCUUUGUUGCCAGCGGUCCGGCCGGGAACUCAAAGGAGACUGCCAGUGAUAAACUGGAGGAAGGUGGGGAUGACGUCAAGUCAUCAUGGCCCUUACGACCAGGGCUACACACGUGCUACAAUGGCGCAUACAAAGAGAAGCGACCUCGCGAGAGCAAGCGGACCUCAUAAAGUGCGUCGUAGUCCGGAUUGGAGUCUGCAACUCGACUCCAUGAAGUCGGAAUCGCUAGUAAUCGUGGAUCAGAAUGCCACGGUGAAUACGUUCCCGGGCCUUGUACACACCGCCCGUCACACCAUGGGAGUGGGUUGCAAAAGAAGUAGGUAGCUUAACCUUCGGGAGGGCGCUUACCACUUUGUGAUUCAUGACUGGGGUGAAGUCGUAACAAGGUAACCGUAGGGGAACCUGCGGUUGGAUCACCUCCUUACCUUAAAGAAGC
rnacentral:rRNA from 1 species